rnacentral:rRNA from 1 species
UACGUAGGGCGCAAGCGUUGUCCGGAAUUAUUGGGCGUAAAGAGCUCGUAGGCGGCCUGUUGCGUCCGCUGUGAAAUCCCGGGGCUUAACCCCGGGCCUGCAGUGGAUACGGGCAGGCUGGAGGCAGGCAGGGGAGAACGGAAUUCCCGGUGUAGCGGUGAAAUGCGCAGAUAUCAGGAGGAACACCUGCGGUGUAGACGGCUUUCUGGACCAUUGUUGACGCUGAGACACGAAAGCGUGGGUAGCAAACAGG